AUGGAUAGCUCGUACGCACAAUCCGAAAAGAUAGAGCAGCAGAAUAUGAGAGACACAGAGAGAGAGAGGCGCGAAACGCCAUGUGCACGUCUGGCACUCAAAAUCAGAAGGAAGCGAGUUUUGCGCUAUUUGCCAAAGCCGUACGCCCCAAAAGAGAUGAAAGAAAAAUGGAAAAGUCAUUGCUGGAAUCCAAAUUUAUAA
rnacentral:lncRNA from 1 species